CGAAGCCGUCUCCGGCAAGGACCCGGCCGGCGGCACGGCCUCUUCCCCGGCAGCCCGCCCGCGGCCAGGCGCUCCCUUUCCUCCCUCCGCGCGCUCUGGCCGUGGCCGUGGCCGGUCUGCUCCUCCUCUCUUCGUCCCGGGCCCCGGGCCGUGCCUCUCGCCUCGCCUCCUCGCGUCCGGUUUGGAUUCGCUCCUCCUCGAUUCGUCGCCUGUUUAGGCUUAGAACCGCGCCUGAUUUGGUUUUUGCUCGCGCUCGAUUCGUCAGUUCAGAAAUCGCGCCUGGUUUGGUUUUGCUCGUCCUCGCCGUCCCCCGUUUGUGCGUCGCGUCCGGUUCGAUUUUGCUCGUCCACGCCGCCGUCGUCCGUGUAGGGUCGCUUCUGGUUCGAUUUUGCACCUCCUCGCCGCCGUCGUCCGUGUAGGGUCGCGCCUGGUUCGAUUUUGCUCGUCCUCGCCGUCGUCGUCCGUGUAGGGUCGCGCCUGGUUCAGUUUCGCUCGUCCUCGCCGUCGUCCGUGUAGAGUCGCGCCUGGUUCGAUUUCGCUCAUCCUCGCCGUUGUCCCGAUGCGCUCGCGUGUUCUUGGUCCGUCUCGCCUCGUCGGGGGUCUCCUCCAUCUCGUUUGCGUGCUAGCAAUUUUGUCAAUGCGCGCUUCUGUUAUCCGAACGGGUAUGGUUUUUGUGCUAGCAGUCCUGGGUUUCGUGUUCGCGUUGGUUGCAGGAACGAACGGGUCUGGUUUCGAAAUUGGAUUACGUUCGGUAUCGUGCUAGUUCAGACUGGUUCCUCCGUUCGGUCACCUACGUUGCUCUUGGUGAUUUUCAGGACUCAAACGUAUGCUCUCUUGUGAUACUCUGUCAAUUCUUGGCCCCCUGUCAGUUCUUGUUGGCCCUCUGUCAAUUCUUGCGUUUCAGGGUCUGUUAAUUCUUGACUUCUUGUUGUACUGGCUAGGCGUGUGUGCUCUCAUCCUAAAUUCAGAGAUGGGGUGAUUCCUUACGCUUGAUCUAAUGCUCUAUACUGUUUAUGUUCUUUCCAAUUUGUUUCUUUAUAUCAUGCUUUGCUUGUGUGUUCCGAGCAGAAAAGUUUUACAAGAGUGCAAACCAUGUGGCCUGCUGCUUGACUAAUUGAACACCUGUUGCUGCUACUGUUGGACAAGGUCCCUUCUUUUCUUCUUGAUGUUGCUAUUUCCAUUCAACUACUCAUAGGAGUUCUAGAUGAGCUGCUGCUAGUUAGUUCCCCUUAGACUACAUUUUAGAUUGCAUAGCAUAAUUCCAGAGUUUUGUCAUAUAAUUCUGUUGUGAGCAUAACUCCAGAAUUUAUUUAUCCGUGAAAGCACGUUCAUCACAUGUUUUUUAGCAAUGCUGCUACCUGCUAACUUCUGUCAUGUCCCUUUACUUUGGACAACAGUUGCAACGAACCUAUAACAUGGACAUGUGCUGCUUGUUUUCUUCUGAUGAUAGUGAUCCAAUUGAGUAGCCCAACUCUUAUGCUCUGACAUUUGUUAAUCCCCAGUUAGUGUGCAUGAAAAAGUAUUGUUUGUCAUGUUAAAUUUUAUGGCAUCAACUCGGUAUUGUGAUUGAUGACUUAGUAUUUGUUUAGUGUAGACAGUUGACUUCUUUUUUCUUAAAUUUUUAGUGAUAUGCAUAUGUUUUGUUAUGUCUUAUGUGGAUAUCAUAUUCUUUUUUUUUUUUGUAUUACUAAUGUCCAGUCAAUGGAAAAUGCUUUUCUUGCUUUGCCUAGACUUUGUGACAAUUAACUUAUAGUGCGAUCAUUGAUCAUUGAGCUUCUGACACCCUAUUCCGUAAAAUUCUGUUGUAAUGUUUGCUGGAUCAUUGAGUAGUUAAUAUUGAUUCUGAGUGUGUUGGAUCAUUAACUUCUGCGUGCACUUCGGUUAUCUGGGAGACACUCACGACUCUGUGUUUCGUAUUCGUGGCGGAGCGAUGAAUGAUUACGUUUCAUGUCCCUGUGUUUCGUGUUCGCCCGUCUGGUUUUGAGUUUGGAUUACAGAGACGGGGAGAGGCCAAAGCAAGGUCAGUUUAUCGUGUUCGCUCAUAUCGGUUCCUCGGUUCCGUCGCUGCGUUGUUCGUCGGCGAUUUCCAGACCUCAAACGCAUGCGCCUUUGUGAUACUCUAGUUUGGCUCGUUGGUCGUUAUGGUUGUUCGUUAAGGUUGUUCUUAUAUUCUUGAAUCACCCAUCUUAUAAGCAGAGAUGGGGUGAUACAUUAUGGUUGUUCUGAUGGUUGUUUAUUUAGUGUUCUUUCCAAUUGGGUUCUUCUUGUCAUGCUUUGCUUAUGUUCCCAAUGUUUGUCUCUCCAUAUAUGGGGAUGCGUUCAGGGGUGCAAACCGUGUAGGCCGUGGUGUGUUUUAUACUAUCUGAUGUGAAGGUGGAAAUAUUGAUAUCACUUCUGUGUUAGUAUACUUGAUAUGGUGUGUUUUAUACUUCAAGUAAUUAACCACAUCUCUUACAAAUUUUCCUUGAGAUACAUGUUCAUAUGGCAGGAGCGAUUGUCUUGACGAAUAAUCAUUUAUGCUUACUUGGUAUUGGUAGUUCCCGAUCAUAGGUAACAGACCAGUACUUGUUUAGUGCAGACAACUGACUAUUCUUUUUUUCUGAUCUUUUCUGUGAUAUGUGUGUUAUGUGGAUAUCAACUAAUGCUUUUCUAAGUAUUUAAGGUACAGACAUGUGGAUCUGGACAUUUCACAUUUGCUCUAUAUUGUGUUGCUAAGGACACUUGUUUAGUGCAGACAACUGACUAUUCUUUUUUUCUGAUCUUUUCUGUGAUAUGUGUGUUAUGUGGAUAUCAUAUUCUAAUGCUUUUCUAAGUAUUUAAGGUACAGACAUGUGGAUCUGGACAUUUCACAUUUGCUCUAUAUUGUGUUGCUAAGGACACUGAGCGGUUUGGCUGGGCCACCGCACAGCCUGGCUAAUCAGGAAGUGUUGUUAUGGAUCAAAUCUGUAAUGGAAGAGACUGAGAGUAACAUUACAACCGACCAACUUAAAGAAUACGUAUGGAAGACACUGGAGAGUGGAAAAGUAGCUGAUCUCAAACUGAGUUAUAUCUAUUCAAUUAUCAAGCACUCAUUCAAGCUCACAUGGGUUGCACUGUAGAAACCUAAAUAUCUACGUAUAGCUUCGUGCAUCAUGUCCCUCUUAUGCACCGCAUUUCAAAAAUCUAAAUAGCCUUGUCUUCUUUAGUGCUACUGUUUGGGAGUUAUUGUUGAAGUUGCAGAAUUGUAUGAAUUUGAACAACAAUGGCUGAGAGCAGCAGAAGUGCUUAGUGGCAUUGACUUGGACUCAAGAAUCAGGAUGCUUGAUGACACAAACAAAUUAUCCAAGGCGUCCAGAUUGCACGACUCUAUUUGGAGUGAAUGCUGAAGCUUUUAUCAACAAAGCCUCAUUUUUGGUCACAAACAGCAACCAGGAAGUUCUGAACUUACAAUACAAGGUCUGCUAUGUGAGAAUUUUAGAUCUAAAGCGUAAAUUCUUGGAAGCUGCACUUCGAUACUACAAUAUCUCUCGAAUUGAGCAAUGCCAAAUUGGGGAUGAGUAAGGUGGCAUAAUCAUCUGAAUCCAGAAAUACAGAGAUGUUUGGACUACUGAGGAGGAACAUGAGGAGGAACAUGCACUGAAUAAUGCCCAUCGGAUAUAUGGGAAUAAAUGGGCAGAAAUAACAAAAGUUCUUCCUUGAAGGAAUGGGGUACUUCCAUUUGUGUAACUUCUAUUUGUUAUCAGUUCUUCUCACCUAUAGCUAAAGUCAAAGAUGCCAAACCAGGUGAAUUAUUGGAGUUGCAAGAUACACAGAAUCAGUCAUCUUAAUCUUCUUUUGUAAAUAUGACUGCUGGUGCUGUUGGUGAAGCUAUCCAUCGGCUUGUAACUCAUGAAAGGCAACCACAGUUGCCAACUUGAAACAUAUAUAUUUUAGGAACGAAGAUCUGAAUCACCCUCACCCCUCGAGAGAAAUCGUUUAGUCAUUCAGGUUCUGGAAUUUCUCUUUAUAGCUUUCUGAGUUUCUUGUUGUUUUUUGUGUGCAAGUGCUCCAUUCUGUGCCUGUCUGACUGUUUGUGGCUUGACUCUCUUGUGUGUGUGGCUUGACUUUCUGUGUGUGGGACUGUGUGUUUGACGGUGUGUGUGUGACUCUAUGCGAAUAUUGCAUUUGACUGUGAUGUGUGACUGUGUGUGUGACUCUGUGCUUGACUGUGUGUGUGACUCUGCGAAUAUUGUGCAUUUGACUGUGAUGUGUGUACCUGUGAAUAUUGCAUUUUAGCAAUGACUGUGUGUGUGAUUGUGUGUGGCUUGUAUGCUUGGUUGAAUGAUUGGUUGGUGUGGCCUAACACUGCCUUUGCCGGUCC